rnacentral:rRNA from 1 species
UACGGAGGGUGCUAGCGUUGUUCGGAAUCACUGGGCGUAAAGGGCGUGUAGGCGGUCUGUUAAGUCUGAUGUGAAAUCCCCUCGCUCAACGAGGGAACUGCGUCGGAUACUGGCAGACUCGAGUACCGGAGAGGAAGGUGGAAUUCCCGGUGUAGCGGUGAAAUGCGUAGAUAGUCGGGAGGAACACCGGUGGCGAAGGCGGCCUUCUGG